GGGUCUAUGAUUAUAAACCCAAGUCAUGACUAGAGAUGAUGACCUAAAAAUCAUGCUCAAUAGGAUUACACUGAGGCCC